GGGCGGGGAACUGCUGGCUCCCUACGGUGAUCAGAGUAUCACAUAGUGCUGGCCGGAGCCUGGCUGCUAGCUGUACCAGCCGAUCAGAGCCAUAGGGGCUGGGCAGUCUUAUGGGGAGCAGGGACAUUGUGCCUUGCUUGGGUACCAAUCUCAGAGGCUCUAAGAGAAAGGCCACAGUGUGAGGUCCAUGGUUGAAAGGGGAGGGAGGAACAUCUCAUCUCAUUUCAAGCCUGUGGAUGUGAGGGGAGAGAGUGUGAGUUGCUGGUCCUAGAUCAGAGCCCUCUGUCCUGAGUGAGCAAAUAAAGUAACCCAAGAGAGGAUUGGAGCUUAUCCAGAAUCAUAGCAGGUAGGCAUGAUGGCGAGAGAAUGGAAAUCAGACCAAAUUCAGGACUUAAAGAGCAAGGGCCAGUCAGUUAACAGAAAUAGCUAGUAGUGGGUUUUAAGACAGGCAUGUGGGAAGUCUUCCAGUUAGCAGCCUCUGACGUAAAAGAUAUCAGAUACUGCCACUUCUGCUUCUCCAAGCCCCUGUGCAGGGAAACACCUCUGCACAAGCCAGGCUUUCUUCAGUACAGACGAGGAUCACCACAAAACCCAGUCAACCCCGGCACUAAGGGAUGGAGCAUGACACAACUUCACCGGAGAGCUUAGAAAGCUGGAGAGACCAUCCCUCUACCUCCAGAACACACACGUUCUGCCUCUAGCCUCCUGUCUCCUCACUUUGUGUGUGAACUCCUAGAGUCAAAGCAGUGUAUCUGUGACAGCAAGGACCUUGGAAUAAUCAACCCUGCCUCUGAGUUUCAUCUCUGCCAUUUACUAGUUGAGUCAUCUUGGGCAAGUCACUUCUCUGGGCCUCAGUAACCUCAUUCAUGAAAUAGGGAUAAUAUCUGCUUACCUCAUUUGGAGGUGGGGGUGAAGAUGAAAUGACGUGACGAAUAUGAACGUGGUUUGUAAGUACACAGUAGCAUUCAGUGGUAUGGUCGUUUCUUAGAGAUGACGGCAGAGCUUACAGCUGCGGAAGUAAAAAGGACUGAAACAUUUGGAUCCCAAGAAUAGACUGGAGGAGCCAGAAGCCAGCUUCCUCCCUCUCCCUGACUUGGUACUGGGAAACCUCAUUUGCUGGCUGGGAAUGACCUGGGGGCUGGAUGUGUGAGUGACUCAGAUCCUCCCAUCAAGCUCUGAAAGGGGCAACCCCAGGAAGGACCUGUGGUGGUCUUCGAAGAGAAAAACCUCCUUUUCUUGGGCUGAUGACAAAUGACAUUUCUCUGAAAUCAGGACUUGGGUUUCUUUCACUUCCUGCCCAAGGGGUCAAGGUCCCCGGAGGUUUCCCCUCUUUUCACACUUUAGAACUCUUCAAUCUGAGGAAGGGAUGAAGUCUGAAAGGCUCAAGUUUCUUUUUCUGUUUCUUAUUAUUCUAUUAUCCCUGAUCCUAUAGCAAAAUUUUCAUUUAUCCAAUAAAUAUUGAUGACAUAUUUA